GAUGAACGCUGGCGGCGUGCCUAAUACAUGCAAGUCGAGCGAACGGACGAGAAGCUUGCUUCUCUGAUGUUAGCGGCGGACGGGUGAGUAACACGUGGAUAACCUACCUAUAAGACUGGGAUAACUUCGGGAAACCGUAGCUAAUACCGGAUAAUAUUUUGAACCGCAUGGUUCAAAAGUGAAAGACGGUUUUGCUGUCACUUAUAGAUGGAUCCGCGCUGCAUUAGCUAGUUGGUAAGGUAACGGCUUACCAAGGCAACGAUGCAUAGCCGACCUGAGAGGGUGAUCGGCCACACUGGAACUGAGAUACGGUCCAGACUCCUACGGGAGGCAGCAGUAGGGAAUCUUCCGCAAUGGGCGAAAGCCUGACGGAGCAACGCCGCGUGAGUGAUGAAGGUCUUCGGAUCGUAAAACUCUGUUAUUAGGGAAGAACAUAUGUGUAAGUAACUGUGCACAUCUUGACGGUACCUAAUCAGAAAGCCACGGCUAACUACGUG
rnacentral:rRNA from 1 species